rnacentral:rRNA from 1 species
AUUGAACGCUGGCGGCAGGCCUAACACAUGCAAGUCGAACGAGUGGCGGACGGGCGAGUAAUGUCUGGGAAAAUGCCCGAUGGAGGGGGAGAACAACAGGAAACGGUGGCUCAUAUCGCAUACCAUCGGAUGUGCCCAGAUGGGAUUAGCUUGUAGGUGAGGUAAAGGGUCACCUAGGCGACGAUCCCUAGCUGGUCUGAGUGGAUGUCCAGCCACACUGGAACUGAGACACGGUCCAGACUCCUACGGGAGGCAGCAGUGGGGAAUAUUGCACAAUGGGCGCAAGCCUGAUGCAGCCAUGCCGCGUGUAUGAAGAAGGCCUUCGGGUUGUAAAGUACUUUCAGCGGGGAGGCGUUACCCGCAGAAGAGGCUCCGGCUAACUCCGUGCCAGCAGCCGCGGUAAUUC